rnacentral:lncRNA from 1 species
GCGGCGCGUAAACGCUGAUGACGUUGAGGACGCAACCCCCAAUGACCAACUUAAUAGACAUUAACCUAUCAUUCACGCGUAAGCGCUGAUGACGUUGAGGACGCAACCCCCAAUAACUAACUUAAUAGACAUUAACUUAUCAUUCACUCGCCUAACCUCGACCACGGACUCCCUUAGAUCCCUAUCUACCAAGAUGCCCACUCCAUUAUUACCUCUCACGACCCCAGAAUACCACAGCUUAAACCCGUCUCCAUUCCUCGCCUUCGACCCUUUCCACCUAGUCUCUUGGACAC